GUCCAGGUCUGAGUGCCACAGGACCACGCGGGGAACUUAAGCAUAUCACUACCCGCAGGAAAAGAAAACAACCGUGAUUCCCUCAGUAUGGGCGACUGAAGAGGGAAGAGCUCAUGCUUGAAUCGGUCGGUAUGCGAAAGCCGCCCGAAUUGUAGCACAAGGUGCGGAUGACAGUGGAGGGUGCUGCCUAACUCCUCUGGAAUGGGGUGACCAAGGAGGGUGAGAGUCCCGUUCGAGCAGCAACCCAAAGCGUACGUUGUCCGAUACCAAGAGUCGCGCUGUUUGGGAGUGCAGCGCUAACGCCAGGUGUAUCUCUGGCAAGGCUAAAUAUUCGGCUGAGACCGAUAGUGCACAAGUAGUGCGAACGAAAGAUGACAAGCACUCUGUCAAGAGAGUGAAACAGCGCCUGAAACAGCAGCGCGGUAAGGUGAUGCGCUCCAUCGGCCGGUGAUAGCUUACGGACUGGCUUUGGCUUGGAAUGUACCAGCUUUCACCGUGCCAGCUCGACUUGUGCUGGGCUUACCGGCCUCCGGGUCUGGGGGUUGCUCUUCGGGGUGGCUCCAGCCGGGGGAGAUGAAGAUUUGGUGCGAGUCGUUGAAGAGACCAGGGUCAAGCUUGUGCGUUGGGCUGUCGUCCUAUGGGGUUACCUAACCUUCAUGGGAAUAGAUAUUCUCGCGUGUGAGUUUACACCUGGCAAGAAGCUGGUUUGAAUGGGCGCAUUGCACCCGUCUUGAAACACGGACCAAGGAGUCGAACACACGCGCAAGCGUUAUGGUGAAUGAAACCAUGGCGCGGAGUGAAAGCGAAGGUUGGGGUUGCUCAACUGUGGUGUGAAGGCCCUUGUGGCUGGCAACAUCGAUGGCUCGACUCUUAUGCCAAUCGAAGCGUGCGUGUUCGGACCCGAAAGAUGGUGAACUAUACCCGAGCAGGGUGAAGCCGGGAGAAAUUCCGGUGGAGGCCCGGAGCAGUGUUGACGUGCAAAUCACUUGCACGACUUGGGCAUAGGGGCGAAAGACUCAUCGAACCAUCUAGUAGCUGGUUCACACCGAAGUUUCCCUCAGGAUAGCUGUCGCCGAAAAGGGAGCCGUGCGAGGUAAAGCGAAUGAUCAGAGGCAUUGGUGUGCUGAGCAUGUCGACCUAUGCUCAAACUUUAAAUGUGCACGGAGCUGACCUUGCAUUGCAGAAGGUCAGACACGGGUCCCGGCGACAAGUGGGCCUUAACCGGUAAGCGGUUCAGGCGAUGCGGGAUGCUCCGAAACGGCACUUAAAGUGUGAGACUAAGGGCUCAUUUAGACCCACGCAAAGAGUGUUGGCCGAUCUAGACAGCAGGGCGGUGGCCAUGGAAGUCGGAAACCGCUAAGGAGUGUGUAACAACUCACCUGCCGAAUCGUCCGGCCUCGAAAAUGGAUCACGCUCAAGCCCUUGACUUAUAGUGCCGCGAAGAUUGGAUUUGAAAGGCCAUUCUUCGAGUAGGUGUGCGUGGCGCAUUGCUGCGAAGGCUAUGGCGUGAGCCUGGUUGGAGCAUGCGCUAGUGCAGAUCUUGGUUGUAGUAGCGAAUAUUCAAGUGCGAGCCUUGAAGGCUGAAGAUGGAGAAGGUUUCCAUGUCAACAGCAGUUGGACAUGGGUCAGGCGGCCCUAAGGCAAGCGUUAGAUCGUCAUCGAAAGGGCCGAUGGGGGAUAGCUUUCGGGUUACCCUCACGUCCGAAUGCCGAAAGGGAAGCCGGCGCACAUUCCGGCCCCACAACACGGGGAUCUGAAGCGGCAACGCAGCAGACGAUCUGGGUGAAGGCGUGCUUUGUACCCAGAAGAGUUCUCUUUUCUGUUGAAUGGGAGAGGUAGACCCUGAAGUCGCGUCAAGAGGAGCUAGGGUCUACCGCCCAGCAUAGCGGUUCACCCGGGAGCCGCAGGGUAGAUAAAGCACGCCCGCGGAAAAACCCAGGGAGCUCUCUAUCCCUCGUGUGUGGCCGUACCGAUAACCGCAUCCGGUCUCCGAGGUGAGAAACCUCUAGCCGACAGAACAAUGCAGCUAAGGGAAGUCGGCAAAAUAGAUGCGUAAGCUCGCGAGAAGCAUUGGCUCUGAGGGCCAGGCCAUUGGAACUUGCCGAGGCUCGAGUGUUGGAGGACUCGGCUGUGAGGCUAGCUUCGGUUGGCCUUGUGGACGGUGCUUUGACGCAAGGGACGAAGCAGGAUCGCCCCUUUGGUCUGAGUGGCCAACUCAGAACUGCUUACGGAGGGGAAUCCAACUGUUUAAUUGAAACAAAGGCCCGUGAUGCAUGUAAGUCGUGUUUUCCGCGAGCUGAUUUCUGCCCAGUGCUCUGAAUGUCAAUGGGAAGAGAUUCUCUCAAGCGCGGGUCAACGGCGGGAGUAACUAUGACUCUCUUAAGGUAGCCAAAUGCCUCGUCUUCUAACUAAAGACGCGCAUGAAGGGAUCAAUGAGAUUCCCACUGUCCCUAGCUGCUAUCUGGCGAAACGGCAGUCAAGGGAACGGACUUGAAAGGUUCAGCGGGGAAAGAAGACCCUGUUGAGUUUGACUCCAGUCUGUCAUUGUGGUGCCACAUUGGAGGUGUAGUACAGGUGGGAGCGAAAGCGCAAAUGAAAUACCACCACUUUGAUCGUGGCGCCGCUCACCCAAUGAUGCGGCAAGGAGGCACCGCUGCGCUCUCGAGUGCGGCGGGAGACCAUUUGAUCUCAGCUUUCGAGUUGUGGCGAUAAGCACGGGGAGGGUAAAACCGCUCCUGUGUGUCCCUCGCUUGGAGACAUUUGACAGACGGGGAGUUUGGCUGGGGCGGCAUAUCUGCUAGAACACAACGCAGGUGUCCUAAGGCAAGCUCAGUGAGAACAGAAAUCUCACGUGGCGCACAAGCGCAAAGGCUUGCUUGAUUACCGAUUUCCAGUACGAAUCUAGACUGUGAAAGCAAGGCCAGCGAUCCUUUGGUCGCAGCGUGUCGAGAUAUCGACGCCAGAGGUGACAGAAAAAUUACCACAGGGAUAACUGGCUCGUGGCAGCCAAGCGUUCAUAGCGACGUUGCUUUUUGAUCCUUCGAUGUCGGCUCUUCCUAGCUUAGCGCCGCAGAAGGCGCUAAGAGUCGGAUUGUUCACCCGCUAACAGGGAACGUGAGCUGGGUUUAGACCGUCGUGAGACAGGUUGGUUUUACCCUACUGAACCGAGUUCGGGUGAGGGCCCGGUGGCACGGCGAAGGCAAUAUGGGGUAGUACGAGAGGAACUCCCAUUUCGCAUCCCUGGUUUCUGCGGCUCGUCGAAGGGCGAGUGCCGCGAAGCUACCAUGCGACGGAUUACGGCUGAACGCCUCUAAGCCAGAACCCGUCCCUGAACCGUGCCUUAUGACGCUAGUCAUGCCUCAUUUGCAUAUGGUUGGAAGCGUGCAAUGUUACUCUUCGGAGUGCAAGCCCGUGUGUCGUCUUAGCGGCUCAACGUGAAUAUGCCAGCCGCAGAUGAGGUGCCACC
rnacentral:rRNA from 1 species